GUGGGGAAUAUUGGACAAUGGGCGCAAGCCUGAUCCAGCCAUGCCGCGUGGGUGAAGAAGGCCUUCGGGUUGUAAAGCCCUUUUGUCCGGGAAGAAAUCGUACGGGUGAAUACCCCGUGCGGAUGACGGUACCGGAAGAAUAAGCACCGGCUAACUUCGUGCCAGCAGCCGCGGUAAUACGAAGGGUGCAAGCGUUACUCGGAAUUACUGGGCGUAAAGCGUGCGUAGGCGGUUUGUUAAGUCUGUCGUGAAAGCCCUGGGCUCAACCUGGGAAUUGCGAUGGAUACUGGCAAGCUAGAGUACGGUAGAGGAUGGUGGAAUUCCCGGUGUAGCGGUGAAAUGCGUAGAGAUCGGGAGGAACACCCGUGGCGAAGGCGGCCAUCUGGACCAGUACUGACGCUGAGGCACGAAAGCGUGGGGAGCAAACAGGAUUAGAAACCCGAGUAGUCC
rnacentral:rRNA from 1 species